rnacentral:rRNA from 1 species
UACGGAGGGUGCAAGCGUUAAUCGGAAUUACUGGGCGUAAAGCGUGCGUAGGCGGUUCGUUAAGUCUGUUGUGAAAGCCCCGGGCUCAACCUGGGAAUGGCAAUGGAUACUGGCGAGCUAGAGUGUGUCAGAGGAUGGUGGAAUUCCCGGUGUAGCGGUGAAAUGCGCAGAUAUCGGGAAGAACACCCGUGGCGAAGGCGGCUCUCUGGGACGGUACUGACGCUGAGACGCGAAAGCGUGGGGAGCGAACAGG